GGUUAAGCGACUAAGCGUACACGGUGGAUGCCCUGGCAGUCAGAGGCGAUGAAGGACGUGCUAAUCUGCGAAAAGCGUCGGUAAGGUGAUAUGAACCGUUAUAGCCGGCGAUGUCCGAAUGGGGAAACCCAGUGCAAUUCGUUGCACUAUCGUUAACUGAAUACAUAGGUUAACGAGGCGAACCGGGGGAACUGAAACAUCUAAGUACCCCGAGGAAAAGAAAUCAACCGAGAUUCCCCCAGUAGCGGCGAGCGAACGGGGAGCAGCCCAGAGUCUGAAUCAGCUUGUGUGUUAGUGGAACGGUCUGGAAAGUCCGACGGUACAGGGUGAUAGUCCCGUACACCAAAAUGCACAGGUUGUGAACUCGAAGAGUAGGGCGGGACACGUGGUAUCCUGUCUGAAUAUGGGGGGACCAUCCUCCAAGGCUAAAUACUCCUGACUGACCGAUAGUGAACCAGUACCGUGAGGGAAAGGCGAAAAGAACCCCGGCGAGGGGAGUGAAAAAGAACCUGAAACCGUGUACGUACAAGCAGUGGGAGCACCUUCGGGUGUGACUGCGUACCUUUUGUAUAAUGGGUCAGCGACUUAUAUUCUGUAGCAAGGUUAACCGUAUAGGGGAGCCGCAGGGAAACCGAGUCUUAACUGGGCGUUAAGUUGCAGGGUAUAGACCCGAAACCCGGUGAUCUAGCCAUGGGCAGGUUGAAGGUUGGGUAACACUAACUGGAGGACCGAACCGACUAAUGUUGAAAAAUUAGCGGAUGACUUGUGGCUGGGGGUGAAAGGCCAAUCAAACCGGGAGAUAGCUGGUUCUCCCCGAAAGCUAUUUAGGUAGCGCCUCGUGAACUCAUCUUCGGGGGUAGAGCACUGUUUCGGCUAGGGGGUCAUCCCGACUUACCAACCCGAUGCAAACUACGAAUACCGAAGAAUGUUAUCACGGGAGACACACGGCGGGUGCUAACGUCCGUCGUGAAGAGGGAAACAACCCAGACCGCCAGCUAAGGUCCCAAAGUCAUGGUUAAGUGGGAAACGAUGUGGGAAGGCACAGACAGCCAGGAUGUUGGCUUAGAAGCAGCCAUCAUUUAAAGAAAGCGUAAUAGCUCACUGGUCGAGUCGGCCUGCGCGGAAGAUGUAACGGGGCUAAACCAUGCACCGAAGCUGCGGCAGCGACACUAUGUGUUGUUGGGUAGGGGAGCGUUCUGUAAGCCUGCGAAGGUGACCUGUGAGGGUUGCUGGAGGUAUCAGAAGUGCGAAUGCUGACAUAAGUAACGAUAAAGCGGGUGAAAAGCCCGCUCGCCGGAAGACCAAGGGUUCCUGUCCAACGUUAAUCGGGGCAGGGUGAGUCGACCCCUAAGGCGAGGCCGAAAGGCGUAGUCGAUGGGAAACAGGUUAAUAUUCCUGUACUUGGUGUUACUGCGAAGGGGGGACGGAGAAGGCUAUGUUAGCCGGGCGACGGUUGUCCCGGUUUAAGCAUGUAGGCUGGUUGUCCAGGCAAAUCCGGAUAAUCAAGGCUGAGGUGUGAUGACGAGGCACUACGGUGCUGAAGUAACAAAUGCCCUGCUUCCAGGAAAAGCCUCUAAGCAUCAGGUAACAUUAAAUCGUACCCCAAACCGACACAGGUGGUCAGGUAGAGAAUACCAAGGCGCUUGAGAGAACUCGGGUGAAGGAACUAGGCAAAAUGGUGCCGUAACUUCGGGAGAAGGCACGCUGGUGUGUAGGUGAAGUCCCUGCGGAUGGAGCUGAGACCAGUCGAAGAUACCAGCUGGCUGCAACUGUUUAUUAAAAACACAGCACUGUGCAAACACGAAAGUGGACGUAUACGGUGUGACGCCUGCCCGGUGCCGGAAGGUUAAUUGAUGGGGUUAUCCGUAAGGAGAAGCUCUUGAUCGAAGCCCCGGUAAACGGCGGCCGUAACUAUAACGGUCCUAAGGUAGCGAAAUUCCUUGUCGGGUAAGUUCCGACCUGCACGAAUGGCGUAAUGAUGGCCAGGCUGUCUCCACCCGAGACUCAGUGAAAUUGAACUCGCUGUGAAGAUGCAGUGUACCCGCGGCAAGACGGAAAGACCCCGUGAACCUUUACUAUAGCUUGACACUGAACAUUGAGCCUUGAUGUGUAGGAUAGGUGGGAGGCUUUGAAGCGUGGACGCCAGUCUGCGUGGAGCCAACCUUGAAAUACCACCCUUUAAUGUUUGAUGUUCUAACGUUGGCCCCUUACCGGGGUUGCGGACAGUGUCUGGUGGGUAGUUUGACUGGGGCGGUCUCCUCCCAAAGCGUAACGGAGGAGCACGAAGGUUAGCUAAUCCUGGUCGGACAUCAGGAGGUUAGUGCAAUGGCAUAAGCUAGCUUGACUGCGAGCGUGACGGCGCGAGCAGGUGCGAAAGCAGGUCAUAGUGAUCCGGUGGUUCUGAAUGGAAGGGCCAUCGCUCAACGGAUAAAAGGUACUCCGGGGAUAACAGGCUGAUACCGCCCAAGAGUUCAUAUCGACGGCGGUGUUUGGCACCUCGAUGUCGGCUCAUCACAUCCUGGGGCUGAAGUAGGUCCCAAGGGUAUGGCUGUUCGCCAUUUAAAGUGGUACGCGAGCUGGGUUUAGAACGUCGUGAGACAGUUCGGUCCCUAUCUGCCGUGGGCGCUGGAGAAUUGAGGGGGGCUGCUCCUAGUACGAGAGGACCGGAGUGGACGCAUCACUGGUGUUCGGGUUGUCAUGCCAAUGGCACUGCCCGGUAGCUAAAUGCGGAAGAGAUAAGUGCUGAAAGCAUCUAAGCACGAAACUUGCCCCGAGAUGAGUUCUCCCUGAGACUUUAAGUCUCCUGAAGGAACGUUAAAGACGAUGACGUUGAUAGGCCGGGUGUGUAAGCGCAGCGAUGCGUUGAGCUAACCGGUACUAAUGAACCGUGAGGCUUAACCUU
rnacentral:rRNA from 1 species